UACGUAGGGUGCGAGCGUUAAUCGGAAUUACUGGGCGUAAAGGGCGCGUAGGCGGCCUGCUAAGUCGGAUGUGAAAUCCCUCGGCUCAACCGAGGAACUGCAUCCGAUACUGGCGGGCUUGAAUCCGGGAGAGGGAUGUGGAAUUCCUGGUGUAGCGGUGAAAUGCGCAGAUAUCAGGAGGAACACCAAUUGCGAAGGCAGCUCGCUGGGACGUUACUGACGCUGAGACGCGAAAGCGUGGGGAGCAAACAGG
rnacentral:rRNA from 1 species